ACCGCUAUCUUUUACAGGAGAGAUGGUCCAUUCUAACCUAACUUGAAACUUCUUUCAGUAAUAUCUCAUCACGCCUGCAAUAUUUUCUAAAUUUAAACGCAUUUUUCUUAUGUAAAUUGCACAUAAGCUUUCGAAUAAAACCAAAAUCAAUCAAAUCGGUACACGUACAACAGCGAUAUCGUAAUAUCAUGUCACGAUACAUCCAAAAAUAUUACCGUCUUAUACUUUUCCAGUCGAUUUUUCGUCAACACUUAGCCAAUAGGAGACAAGGCCGUUCGUCGAUUCGUCGACUCUCGGAAUCAGUCGGCAAGGCUCGUCGGCCGGCGUAAGAAAUACUUGUGUAUAUCGUUUUACAGAUAUAGGUUAGUAUCGUUUGACAGAUAUAUGUUACAGUGAGGAAUAGCAGGAUGCAGAUUAUUAAAACAGAAGAAAAGAAUUUCACCAGAUACUGCAAGAAAUAAUGCACAAGAGACAGUAAUGUUGCCUUGUAAUACGUGUGUGCACGCAGUAAAACUAUAAUAGUAGUAUUAGCAGUGCGACAUAUUUUAUUAUAUUUCACAUCAAGAAGAGGAGCAUAUAACAUCAUCAAUAAAAGACGACAGUCAUUUCAAUAAGAGGAAACGAAGGGAUGAAUUGGUUGUUUCAUGAAGCAAAUAAUUUGCUGACGAAGCAACAGUAUUUUGGUGCUCUCCAAAAAUAAGAGCUGCCGCUGUGAAAUUCUAGUAUUUUGUCUAAGUGAAGGAUAUCUGUUAGUAAUUAUUAAAAUACCACAAGAAGAAUCGUGCAAGUAUUACAGGAAAUACGAUAAAGUUUGACAGCUAUAUUGAAAUUUGCCAGUUAAAAUAUACUACGAUCUGACAGAGUGUACAACGGAAGGAAUUAAGUGAGCUGUACAUAAUAUAAUUGAAGCAUAAGAUGAUGAUGAGCGGUGUGCAUAACAAAUUUGCUGAUAUUUGUAUUAAUUCAUGAAUUGAAUGAAUAAAUGUUUGUAAUUAAUAAAUUAGUAUCAUAUGAAA